AGAGCGAACGCUGGCGGCAGGCUUAACACAUGCAAGUCGAGCGGGCGUAGCAAUACGUCAGCGGCAGACGGGUGAGUAACGCGUGGGAACGUACCUUUUGGUUCGGAACAACACAGGGAAACUUGUGCUAAUACCGGAUAAGCCCUUACGGGGAAAGAUUUAUCGCCGAAAGAUCGGCCCGCGUCUGAUUAGCUAGUUGGUGAGGUAACGGCUCACCAAGGCGACGAUCAGUAGCUGGUCUGAGAGGAUGAUCAGCCACAUUGGGACUGAGAUACGGCCCAGACUCCUACGGGAGGCAGCAGUGGGGAAUAUUGCACAAUGGGCGCAAGCCUGAUGCAGCGACGCCGCGUGGGGGAUGACGGCCUUCGGGUUGUAACCCUUUCAGUAGGGACGAAGCGCAAGUGACGGUACCUACAGAAGAAGCACCGGCCAACUACGCGCCAGCAGCCGC
rnacentral:rRNA from 1 species